rnacentral:rRNA from 1 species
UACGUAGGUGGCAAGCGUUGUCCGGAUUUACUGGGUUUAAAGGGUGCGUAGGUGGGCAGGUAAGUCAGUGGUGAAAUCUCCGGGCUUAACUCGGAAACUGCCAUUGAUACUAUCUUUCUUGAAUACCGUGGAGGUCAGCGGAAUAUGUCAUGUAGCGGUGAAAUGCUUAGAUAUGACAUAGAACACCAAUUGCGAAGGCAGCUGGCUACACGAAUAUUGACACUGAUGCACGAAAGCGUGGGGAUCAAACAGG